GAUGAACGCUGGCGGCGUGCCUAAUACAUGCAAGUCGAGCGAACAGACGAGGAGCUUGCUCCUCUGACGUUAGCGGCGGACGGGUGAGUAACACGUGGAUAACCUACCUAUAAGACUGGGAUAACUUCGUGAAACCGGAGCUAAUACCGGAUAAUAUAUUGAACCGCAUGGUUCAAUAGUGAAAGACGGUUUUGCUGUCACUUAUAGAUGGAUCCGCGCCGCAUUAGCUAGUUGGUAAGGUAACGGCUUACCAAGGCAACGAUGCGUAGCCGACCUGAGAGGGUGAUGGGCCACACGGGAACUGAGAAACGGUCCAGACUCCGACGGGAGGCAGCAGUAGGGAAUCUUCCGCAAUGGGCGAAAGCCUGACGGAGCAACGCCGCGUGAGUGAUGAAGGUCUUCGGAUCGUAAAACUCUGUUAUUAGGGAAGAACAAAUGUGUAAGUAACUAUGCACGUCUUGACGGUACCUAAUCAGAAAGCCACGGCUAACUACGUG
rnacentral:rRNA from 1 species